rnacentral:rRNA from 1 species
GAUGAACGCUAGCUACAGGCUUAACACAUGCAAGUCGAGGGGCAGCAUCAUCAAAGCUUGCUUUGAUGGAUGGCGACCGGCGCACGGGUGAGUAACACGUAUCCAACCUGCCGACAACACUGGGAUAGCCUUUCGAAAGAAAGAUUAAUACCGGAUGGCAUAGUUUUCCCGCAUGGGAUAAUUAUUAAAGAAUUUCGGUUGUCGAUGGGGAUGCGUUCCAUUAGGCAGUUGGCGGGGUAACGGCCCACCAAACCUACGAUGGAUAGGGGGUUCUGAGAGGAAGGUCCCCCCACAUUGGAACUGAGACACGGUCCAAACUCCUACGGGAGGCAGCAGUGAGGAAUAUUGGUCAAUGGACGAGAGUCUGAACCAGCCAAGUAGCGUGAAGGAUGACUGCCCUAUGGGUUGUAAACUUCUUUUAUACGGGAAUAAGUGAGCCACGUGUGGCUUUUUGUAUGUACCGUAUGAAUAAGGAUCGGCUAACUCCGUG